GAUUUCCCCCAAGGCAGAAGUGGGAGAGGGCUGCAUGAGGGCAGGGGCGGGGGUGGCAAUGAGCAAAGUCUGUACUCGGAGCUCAGCAGGGAGGAGCUGCUGCCCCAUCCUCUGCCCCAUCCUGUGACCUGUGAUCCGUCAGACCCGUUGGUCGUGCCAUGGGGAUGCCAGCAAGCGCUUGGCAGCUGCACGCGGUGUGGCAGAGAGUGUCUGUGUGAUUGUGAUGCCUUCCUAGGAGAACUUGGCCCCCAGAGGCAAGGCUGUCACUAAAAUCCCUCAGGAGAGAAUAAACGUUUUGCUUCGGCACAAGACAAAUUACACGUGGAGUAAACCAAGGACUCAACUCUGUUUUCAUGACUGGUUUUUUGAACAAUAAUCCAUAGAGGCGGGAGAGGAAGGGAUUCAUGCAGCAAAUGAAACAAAGUCCCUGAUGUCUAUUUCUAUUCUGAUAGCACCUCCUGGAAUAUCGGCAACAUUUUAAGUUCCAGCCUAAGCCAUGAAUUCCUUCAGAACAAAUCAAAUGUCUUUAAAGAAUAUUUCUGUUUGAAAAGGAAUUAAGCCCUCCUGAAAGAAUUUUAAAGGCACCUUCUUUCCCUGAAAACAGCAAUAAAAUUUCAUUCGACCUUCUAAAUUUCAUUCUCAAGCCCCAGCAAGGAGCGGGCAGGUAGCUUCGUGAGCGGAUCCAUGGGACACAGGACGUCUUCCUUCGUUUCAGACUCGGCUUCCCCGCGGCCAGAGCCCAGCAGUCAAGCCAGUCAUUUCCAGGCGAAGCAGGACCUACCCUGGGGGCUCACACCCUACAAAUCCCUGAAUCCUCCAUCAUCCCUCCUCCCAGCCUCCUAGUGGGCCGCUCCAAUUUAGGAGGAUUGUAUUGUCUGGAAAUCAACCUGAUCUUAUCUGUAGCCUUUUGUCAAGAGGAAAUUUUUGUUGCCUGUUUUGCUCAGAGGUUGAAACUUGUAGUAUAUUAACUAAUUGCUUGCAUCACUAACACAUGUUCUCUUGUUGGUGUCAUUCAUUUAUACUGUAACAUUUUUGACAUUUUUAGAUUGUCUCUUGGGACUCCUGGGCCUCUUAGCAGUUCCCUCUAUGAAGAGUGUUUGCCUAAUGAUUACUGACUGACAUCUCAAUAACGAGCAGUAGGAGUUGGGUGCAUCUAUUGAAGAGUUCGGGGGGGGGGGGUGUAUGUGUGUGUGUGUUUUAAUUCAUGGUCCACUUUGUCAAGUCAUGUGUGAGCCAUAAUUUAAGCUAAUAAUUACCAGACAUGAAUUCAAU
rnacentral:lncRNA from 1 species